rnacentral:rRNA from 1 species
CCUACGGGAGGCUGCAGUGAGGAAUAUUGGUCAAUGGACGAGAGUCUGAACCAGCCAAGUAGCGUGAAGGAUGACUGCCCUAUGGGUUGUAAACUUCUUUUAUAUGGGAAUAAAAUGUUCCACGUGUGGGAUUUUGUAUGUACCAUAUGAAUAAGGAUCGGCUAACUCCGUGCCAGCAGCCGCGGUAAUACGGAGGAUCCGAGCGUUAUCCGGAUUUAUUGGGUUUAAAGGGAGCGUAGGUGGAUUGUUAAGUCAGUUGUGAAAGUUUGCGGCUCAACCGUAAAAUUGCAGUUGAAACUGGCAGUCGUGAGUAACGUAGAGGUGAGCGGAAUUCGUGGUGUAGCGGGGAAAUGCUUAGAUAGCACGAAGAACUCCGAUUGAGAAGGCAGCUCACGGGAUUGCAACUGACACUGAGGCUCGAAAGUGAGGGUAGCAAACAGGAGUAGAUACCCCGGUAGUC